GAUUUUUCUACUUAAAUACUCAUUGAUUUCACUAAUUAAAGUGAGUAAUUAGAGUGAGUAACUUAAUUAAACAUAAAGAGGGGGUUGAUUUUAAGGUGGUGAAUGCAUUGAAGGAAGGAUUUCAAGCUAAGGUUUGAAGAGGGAGAAGAAGAAAACUUGAUUUUUCUUGCAUUGUUUCCUUAAAUCCUUAUCAAAGUGAGGAAUGAUGCAAAUUAUGUUUGAACCAUGUUAGAAAGCAUGAAUUAUGAUUGGAGGAGGCCGCAGGACCUAAUCAGCAACAAGGGACAUCUUCACGCGCAC